rnacentral:rRNA from 1 species
CCUACGGGAGGCAGCAGUGAGGAAUAUUGGUCAAUGGACGAGAGUCUGAACCAGCCAAGUAGCGUGAAGGAUGACUGCCCUAUGGGUUGUAAACUUCUUUUAUAAAGGAAUAAAACGAGGCACGUGUGCCUUUUUGCAUGUACUUUAUGAAUAAGGAUCGGCUAACUCCGUGCCAGCAGCCGCGGUAAUACGGAGGAUCCGAGCGUUAUCCGGAUUUAUUGGGUUUAAAGGGAGCGUAGAUGGGUUGUUAAGUCAGUUGUGAAAGUUUGCGGCUCAACCGUAAAAUUGCAAUUGAUACUGGCAGUCUUGAGUACAGUUGAGGUAGGCGGAAUUCGUGGUGUAGCCGUGAAAUGCUUAGAUAUCACGAAGAACCCCGAUUGCGAAGGCAGCUUACUAAACUGUGACUGACAUUGAUGCUCGAAAGUGUGGGUAUCAAACAGGAUUAGAUACCCCUGUAGUC